GGUGUUAAGGAAUGUGGUUUCAGCGGCCUUGAUGACCGGGCAGGAGAGAGAGUCUGCCCGGUGUUGGCCAUUGGCGUUGCAGCGGAAACAUUUG